UUAAAGAGGAUUCCAAAUCUACCGAAGCUAAAUUUGUGGCCUCCAUUCUCUCGAAGAAGCAAAAGCAGAAGCAGAAAAUCACUAAGCUCGGAAGCUCCAGAACCCACAUCAACAACCUCCCCAAGCUCCUCUCCUACGUCACCCUAACCUCACCGCCUUAGUACGUCGUCAAAUCUCUCCUUUCCAUCCAAGCCUUCUUCACUCCGGUCUUGCCUGACCUCCCUUCCUCUUCUUCCAAGCCCAAUCACUCCCAGGACGAUGACCCCGAGUUCAUAUACAGCACUUGGCUCUAGUCCAAGUUUGACAAGCUCAUCGAGUCCCUCAUCCAGCUCCUUCUUUUGCCGGAAUCCGAUGAAACUCUCAAGUUUUUUUUUUUUUAAUUUACAGCCAUUCAGAUAAUUAUAGAUAUCUUUACUGCUUCUAAUUUGAAAUUUGAUAAUGUUGUUAGGAGGUGGUGUUGGAUACACUGAUGGAGUUUUUGAAGUUGGGAAACGGAAUAAGGUUUCACUCUGCUAUAUUCCUUAGGUUUCUUCGUAACAUUGUGUACUCUAAAACAUUGCCGAAUUUCUUGGUAGACUUGCUUGCAUCAAAGUAUUUCAAGUAUAUUGAUGUCCGAUAAGGUCACAUUGUUGUUAGGACUGAUAAUUGAUAAAUCUGAAAUCAGAUUGCUUCAUUUAGUUCUUUGACAGGUAUUGAAAAUGUAAUUCAUAGAUUGUUUUGGGUAUGGGGGGUUUUUGGGUGGCCAAGCGCCGCUGGGGCAUCAUCCUCUGGGUGGACCGGGGCUGUCAUCUGUGGGAAAUCAGGGACCUGGGAAUGGUGCUUAAAGUUACGAGAAUAUGCUCUCGUUUGAUAAUUGUAUUAGCUGUGCUUUUAUCGCCACUUCCUCUGUUCAUCUGCACCUUUUAAGAUGUAGGAAUUAAAGCAGUAUCCCACUUUAAGAGUGGAAGUUGGGAAUGUAAGAUUUGAAUCGCUGGAUAGGAUGAAAGAAGAGAGCAAGGAAGCAACUAUGCAGCUAGUUGAUAUGGAAUCUCUCCCCCAAUGUUUGUAGGACUUUGAAUAUCUCAUCUCUUAGAUAUCCGUCAUCUCGUAUAUCUAUUCUACGGCCGCGAGAGAAGCUUGAUGACUUCCAGAUUCCCAUCUCAUCAGCUUAGCAAUGGUCUUUAUGUGUCAGGCAGGCCUGAGCAGGCAAAAGAAAGAGCACCUACAAUGGGCUCAACUGCCAUGCCCUCUACUGUAAGCUUAGGGUUCUAAAUCACUUGGAUGAAUUCAAAUUUGUGGAAGAAUUCAUGGCCGCCUCAGGAGUAUAUCCCCAGGAACACUUUAGAAUUGGAGAAUCAUUGGUUCUAAAUAAGCAAAGACUCUGAACAGAGAUGCUGCUGAUUUUGAGUUGAAAGGUUAGAGGAAAGCUCAAUGUUAUCAGUUGGAUGACAAGAACAAAAACUUAGUAGAGAUUAGAGAACAGCAAAGGAAAUCAGAAGAAAGAAAGCAAAGGAAUGAGAGAGGAGAGGCAGCAACCAAUACACCCAAGUGGAUAUUGAUCAAGUGCGAAAUGAGUGGGGGAAGUUUGUUGUCAACACAUAUGUGCACGAGUCAUGAAGUAGUGCACUUGUUGCUGGUACAUUUUAGAUAAAGAAAGCAUCUUUUUUGUGCUUCUCUGCUGGUACAUUGUAUGCACCAUGUGUGGCAUGUUUUGGAACAAUAUAUAUGUGUAUCAUCUUUUUGAUGUCCCA